AUGGUGAAGUUGCUGCCUGCCCAGGAGGCAGCCAAGAUCUACCACACCAACUACGUGCGUAACUCGAGGGCCGUGGGCGUGAUGUGGGGCACGCUCACCAUCUGCUUCUCCGUGCUGGUCAUGGCGCUCUUCAUCCAGCCCUACUGGAUCGGUGACAGCGUCAACACGCCCCAGGCGGGCUACUUUGGCCUUUUCUCCUACUGCGUGGGCAACGUGCUGUCUUCUGAGCUUAUCUGCAAGGGUGGCCCGCUGGACUUCUCCUCUAUCCCUUCUAGAGCCUUCAAGACUGCCAUGUUCUUUGUGGCCUUGGCCAUGUUCCUCAUCAUUGGCUCCAUCAUCUGCUUCAGCCUGUUCUUUGUCUGCAACACGGCCACUGUCUACAAGAUCUGUGCGUGGAUGCAGCUGGCUGCGGCCACAGGCCUGAUGAUCGGCUGCCUGGUCUACCCAGACGGCUGGGACUCAAGUGAGGUACGGCGCAUGUGUGGGGAGCAGACAGGCAAAUACACGCUGGGUCACUGCACCAUCCGCUGGGCCUUCAUGCUUGCCAUCCUCAGCAUUGGAGACGCUCUCAUCCUCUCCUUCUUGGCCUUUGUGCUGGGCUACCGCCAGGACAAGCUGCUCCCUGAUGACUAUAAGGCUGAUGGAAAAGAGGAAGUCUGAAGCCGCUGGAGCACUGGUUUCUAAGAUGUGAAUUAACGAGAACAUGAAGGAACACCUUUUAAAAAGAAAGAAAGGAGAGGGGAAGGAAGGACGGAGAGAGGAAGGAAGGGAAGGAACAGCCCACAGUGGCAUCAUAUUCCUGACAGCUGUCACUUACUGAGGACUCAGAGCUGCUCAGGCACUGUUUGUGGAUCAUCUAUUUCCCUGACAACGGAAAAAUGAGCAAAUCAAAUUCUUCCGAAAACUUGUUCCAUGCUUCCGUGUCUGCUAGUCUAGGCCUGAAGCCCUGAAGCCUUUCAUUAUAGGGUUAGAAACUGACAAGAGUUUCAAGAUAAGACCACUUACUACAUUUGGAAAACUCCAGUGAGGCAGAAAUGCAGUGACCACAUCCAAGAUGUUCAGAGUAAUGGUUUAACUCUCCUGACUAGGAACCCACCUUCUCUUCCUAUCCCUUUACCCCAGCAAGUCACUUUACCAUCUCGAGGCCUCUCUGUAAAAUGACAGCAGAAUGAAUCUGUGUGUAGGGUGAGUCCCCGACAGUCUAAAUCACUGAGGAUACUUGUUUGAAAGCACCCAGAAAUUGCCAUCCAGCUUUUAGAGGGCAAUUAAAAAGAGGUGGCUGUAACCAUGCUGGACUGUUUCAGGUUGAGGUU